UGGGUAACCUGCCUCAAAGAGGGGAAUAGCCUCCCGAAAGGGGGAUUAAUACCGCAUAAUAUGUUUAAGUCGCAUGACUUUAACAUCAAAGGAUUUUCUUUUAGAAAUUUCCACUUUGAGAUGGACCCGCGGCGCAUUAGCUAGUUGGUGAGGUAACGGCUCACCAAGGCAACGAUGCGUAGCCGACCUGAGAGGGUGAUCCGGCCACAUUGGAACUGAGACACGGCCCAGACUCCGUACGGGAGCAG
rnacentral:rRNA from 1 species